UACGUGUGAGGCAAGCGUUAUUCGGCAUUAUUGGGCGUAAAGAGCUCGUAGGCGGCUUGUCGCGUCGUCCGUGAAAACUCACAGCUCAACUGUGAGCUUGCGGUCGAUACGGGCAGGCUAGAGUUCGGUAGGGGAGACUGGAAUUCCUGGUGUAGCGGUGAAAUGCGCAGAUAUCAGGAGGAACACCGGUGGCGAAGGCGGGUCUCUGGGCCGAUACUGACGCUGAGGAGCGAAAGCGUGGGGAGCGAACAGG
rnacentral:rRNA from 1 species